UACGUAGGUGGCGAGCGUUGUCCGGAUUUACUGGGCGUAAAGAGCGCGCAGGCGGUCGUACAAGUCGCGUGUGAAAGCCCCGGCUCAACUGGGGAGGGUCACGCGAUACUGUUCGACUCGAAGGCAGGAGAGGGUAGUGGAAUUCCCGGUGUAGUGGUGAAAUGCGUAGAUAUCGGGAGGAACACCAGUGGCGAAGGCGACUACCUGGCCUGUUCUUGACGCUGAGGCGCGAAAGCUAGGGUAGCAAACGGG
rnacentral:rRNA from 1 species